rnacentral:lncRNA from 1 species
AUGUCCCAGGAGACGCCUAAGUGCAGCCGGAUCUUGACACGAUGGACCCCAGUUGUGGACAAUUUUCAUUUCGCCCAUCCUCCUCCCGAAGCUCCUGGGCCUCCCUCGCUGUUGCCCGCAAAGCUGUGGGGCCCCGGAGCCUGCCAGGGGGACAGGCAGGGGCACAGGCAGGGCACAGGGCCGCGGUGGACGGCAGAGGCACAAUUCGCCCACGGGAGGCCGGGCUGCGGUCACCAGGGCACGUGCGGCGUCCCACUUGGGGCCAGCAGCCUGGGUGACCAGCCACAAAGGAGGCCUGGCAGGGGGGGCGGGCCACGAGCUGAAGCCACCCGGCUCCCUGCCCCCGCUCGGCUGCAGUGUCCCCACCGUGUCCCCACCACUCCUGGUGCCCGGGUGCCCGGCGCUGAGCAGCCCUGGACCUCAGCCUCCUGGUCGGGGCGGGGGCGAGCAGCCUGCAGGCUCCGGGCCCACCCAUGCCCCGGCUUGGCCCGGGGCCUCCGUACCUCCCGCGGGCCUCCUGCUCGCUGCCUCCCGCAGGUGCAGGGACCACAGGCUCCUGCCAGAGACGGUGCAGAGGAAGCCGGUGGCCAAUCCCCGACAUUGCAGAGGAAACACUGCAGUUUCCUCUCCCCAGGGAGGGCGAGGGCACGGAAGGCAUUCUCGGGGGCCUGCCUGGGCAUCCCGGGGCCAGAGGGGGAAGCGCCCCCCCCCCCCCCCCCCCCCCCCCCGCCGCGGCGUCCCUAUCCACCCCUCCCACGUUCCUCUGGCAGGGAGGCGUGUUCUUGGGGGGUGCGCACUCCCCUCCUGGAGGGCCCCACCUGUGCCGUUCUCCAAGCACAGGCGGGCACAGGAUGGGGGCUGGCGGCACAGGGACAGAUGGGUCACCACGGCCCGGGACGGGGCAGCCGGCCCUACAGUGCCCGGGGCGCACGGCUUCCGCCGGCCUGCGCAGGGGCGUCCCGGCCACCACGUGUGCUGCCCCGCAGGCCGCUCCUGGGGUCUCUGCUGCUCCCGUGGGAGGACCAAGAAUGCAGCCCCUGCAGCCCCAGGAGUAGGAGCAGGGGCGGAGGGAGAAACCGAGGCCGACUCUGA